CCUGGACUCCGGUGCUCAGCUCCCAGCCAUUUCCUCUGCCUUGAUGUGCCCUCCUCUCAAACUCUCCCUAACUACCAGGAAACCAACUUCAUCAGAACCUCCCGAAUCCCCAUCUACAUCUGCAUCACUCAUCCAACUUAAAUAAAUAAUUUUUACAUA